CCUCUCUCAGGGCCGCAUCUGGAGGGUUUCCAGUACUUUACCAGUCUCGGCUACUGGAGGAAGGGUCAAGCAGAGGCAUACUCAUUCCAUUCCUAGCUUGGCCAGUGGCUAGCGAAAGGAAGGCAGUCUGCUACAAGU